UUUUAGCCCGGACUGAAAUGGAAAGCUUCUAGAAGUAAAAAAGUAUUUUUUAUAAUCUUGCAAAGCGACUAGAAGAAGCUCUUGCCAGAUUAUUAUAAAAAUCUUUUUUACUAGAGAACUUGCAAUGGAAAGCCGGAUUCAGC
rnacentral:sRNA from 1 species